GAUGAACGCUGGCGGCGUGCCUAACACAUGCAAGUCGAACGUAGCAAUUAAGAUGAAGUUUUCGGAUGGAAUCUUGAUUGACUGAGUGGCGGACGGGUGAGUAACGCGUGGAUAACCUGCCUCACACUGGGGGAUAACAGUUAGAAAUGACUGCUAAUACCGCAUAAGCGCACAGUGCCGCAUGGCAGUGUGUGAAAAACUCCGGUGGUGUGAGAUGGAUCCGCGUCUGAUUAGCCAGUUGGCGGGGUAACGGCCCACCAAAGCGACGAUCAGUAGCCGACCUGAGAGGGUGACCGGCCACAUUGGGACUGAGACACGGCCCAAACUCCUACGGGAGGCAGCAGUGGGGAAUAUUGCACAAUGGGCGAAAGCCUGAUGCAGCGACGCCGCGUGAGUGAAGAAGUAUUUCGGUAUGUAAAGCUCUAUCAGCAGGGAAGAAAAUGACGGUACCUGACUAAGAAGCCCCGGCUAACUACGUGCCAGCAGCCGCGGUAAUACGUAGGGGGCAAGCGUUAUCCGGAUUUACUGGGUGUAAAGGGAGCGUAGACGGCGAAGCAAGUCUGAAGUGAAAACCCAGGGCUCAACCCUGGGACUGCUUUGGAAACUGUUUUGCUAGAGUGUCGGAGAGGUAAGUGGAAUUCCUAGUGUAGCGGUGAAAUGCGUAGAUAUUAGGAGGAACACCAGUGGCGAAGGCGGCUUACUGGACGAUAACUGACGUUGAGGCUGGAAAGCGUGGGGAGCAAAACAGGAUUAGAUACCCUGGUAGUCCACGCCGUAAACGAUGAAUGCUAGGUGUGGGGGGGCAAAGCCCUUCGGUGCCGCCGCAAACGCAGUAAGCAUUCCACCUGGGGAGUACGUUCGCAAGAAUGAAACUCAAAGGAAUUGACGGGGACCCGCACAAGCGGUGGAGCAUGUGGUUUAAUUCGAAGCAACGCGAAGAACCUUACCAAGUCUUGACAUCCCCCUGACGGGCCGGUAACGCGGCCUUUCCUUCGGGACAGGGGAGACAGGUGGUGCAUGGUUGUCGUCAGCUCGUGUCGUGAGAUGUUGGGUUAAGUCCCGCAACGAGCGCAACCCUUAUCCUUAGUAGCCAGCACGUGAAGGUGGGCACUCUAGGGAGACUGCCAGGGAUAACCUGGAGGAAGGUGGGGAUGACGUCAAAUCAUCAUGCCCCUUAUGAUUUGGGCUACACACGUGCUACAAUGGCGUAAACAAAGGGAAGCGAGACAGUGAUGUGGAGCAAAUCCCAAAAAUAACGUCCCAGUUCGGACUGUAGUCUGCAACCCGACUACACGAAGCUGGAAUCGCCAGUAAUCGCGAAUCAGAAUGUCGCGGUGAAUACGUUCCCGGGUCUUGUACACACCGCCCGUCACACCAUGGGAGUCAGCAACGCCCGAAGUCAGUGACCCAACCGAAAGGAGGGAGCUGCCGAAGG
rnacentral:rRNA from 1 species